GACGAACGCUGGCGGCGUGCUUAACACAUGCAAGUCGAGCGGUAAGGCCCUUUCGGGGGUACACGAGCGGCGAACGGGUGAGUAACACGUGGGUGACCUGCCCUCAGCUCUGGGAUAAGCCUGGGAAACCGGGUCUAAUACUGGAUAUGACUCCAUGACGCAUGUUGUGGGGUGGAAAGCCUUGUGCGGCUGAGGAUGGGCCCGCGGCCUAUCAGCUUGUUGGUGGGGGAUGGCCUACCAAGGCGACGACGGGUAGCCGGCCUGAGAGGGCGACCGGCCACACUGGGACUGAGACACGGCCCAAACUCCUACGGGAGGCAGCAGUGGGGAAUAUUGGACAAUGGGCGCAAGCCUGAUCCAGCCAUGCCGCGUGAGUGAUGAAGGCCC
rnacentral:rRNA from 1 species